rnacentral:tRNA from 1 species
GCCGGUAGCUCAGUUCGGUAGAGCGCCACACAAGCGGAGGUCGCUGGUUCAAAUCCAGCCCAGCGCA